rnacentral:rRNA from 1 species
ACUACGGGAGGCAGCAGUGGGGAAUAUUGCACAAUGGGGGAAACCCUGAUGCAGCGACGCCGCGUGAAGGAUGAAGUAUUUCGGUAUGUAAACUUCUAUCAGCAGGGAAGAAAAUGACGGUACCUGACUAAGAAGCCCCGGCUAACUACGUGCCAGCAGCCGCGGUAAUACGUAGGGGGCAAGCGUUAUCCGGAUUUACUGGGUGGAAAGGGAGCGUAGACGGCAUGGCAAGUCUGAUGGUAAAACCCGGGGCCCAACCCCGGGACUGCAGUGGAAACUGUCAGGCUAGAGUGUCGGAGAGGCAAGUGGAAUUCCUAGUGUAGCGGUGAAAUGCGUAGAUAUUAGGAGGAACACCAGUGGCGAAGGCGGCUUGCUGGACGAUGACUGACGUUGAGGCUCGAAAGCGUGGGGAGCAAACAGGAUUAGAUACCCCGGUAGUC